GGACUACCAGGGUUUCUAAUCCUGUUUGCUCCCCACGCUUUCGCGCCUCAGCGUCAGUCAAGGACCAGGUCGCCGCCUUCGCCACCGGUGUUCUUCCCAAUAUCUACGAAUUUCACCUCUACACUGGGAAUUCCACGACCCUCUUCCCCACUCCAGACCAGACGUAUCAAGCGCAGCCCCCAGGUUGAGCCCAGGAAUUUCACGCCUGACUAUCCGAUCCGCCUACGCGCCCUUUACGCCCAGUCAUUCCGAGCAACGCUAGCCCCCUUCGUAUUACCGCGGCGGCUGGCAC
rnacentral:rRNA from 1 species